rnacentral:rRNA from 1 species
GCUUAAACUCAAGGACUUGGCGGUGCCCUAUACCCACCUAGAGGAGCCUGUUCUAUAAUUGAUAAUCCCCAAUAAACCUCACCACCCCUUGUAAAUACAGCCUAUAUACCACCGUCACAAGCCCACCCUAUAAGGGAUUUAUAGUAGGCUAAACAAUUAAAAAUAAAAAAGUCAGGUCAAGGUGUAGCACAUGGGCCGGGAAGAAAUGGGCUACAUUUUCUUCAAAGAAAAUACGAAAUGUUUUAUGAAAUAAAACAUGAAGGAGGAUUUAGCAGUAAAAAGAGAAUAGAGAGCUCUUUUAAAAUUGGCAAUAGGACGAGCACACACCGCCCGUCACCCUCUUUAAACAUAACAUAAAGUAAAUAAAAAUAAAAUAUUUUUAGAAGAGGAAAGUCGUAACAUGGUAAGUCUACCGGAAGGUGGCCUUGGAA